CCUACGAGAGGCUGCAGUCGAGAAUCAUUCACAAUGGGGGAAACCCUGAUGGUGCGACGCCGCGUGGGGGAAUGAAGGUCUUCGGAUUGUAAACCCCUGUCAUGUGGGAGCAAAUUAAAAAGAUAGUACCACAAGAGGAAGAGACGGCUAACUCUGUGCCAGCAGCCGCGGUACUACAGAGGUCUCAAGCGUUGUUCGGAAUCACUGGGCGUAAAGCGUGCGUAGGCUGUUUCGUAAGUCGUGUGUGAAAGGGGCGGGCUCAACCCGCGGACGGCACAUGAUACUGGGAGACGAUGGUAAUGGAGGGGGAACAGGAAUUCUCGGGGUAGGAGUGAAAAGCG
rnacentral:rRNA from 1 species